rnacentral:lncRNA from 1 species
UUCACCUCAAGCAUUUAUCAUUUCUUUUUGUUACAAACAUUCCAAUUAUACUUUUAGUUAUUUUUAAAUGUACAGUAAAUUUUUGUUGACUGUAAUCACCUGUUGUGCCAUGAAUUACUAGAAUUUUAUUCAUUCUAACUUUAUUUUUGUACCCAUUAAUCAUCCCCACUCUUCUCCUUGCCAACUACCCUUCCCAGCCUCUGGUAACCAUCAUUCUACUGUCUAUCUCCAUGAGUUCAAUUCAUUUAAUUCUAAUCUUUUUCUUCCUUGGCAACCUUUUAAUCUUUAAUAAGAAAUAAGUCAUCUAAAUUCAUCAUAAUGGUUAAAUAUGUGAAAAUGGUAGCUACUGAUCAGUCUAAGCAGUGAUACGUAAGAGGGCCUUGUCGGUUAAGACCAUCAGAUCCUAAUACUAAAGAGUUUGUGUACCAUGUUCAUUAAGGUACUGUGGCAUAGAAACAAGCAAACCAGGCACCUCCAGGUUGACCAGUCUCCAGGAGAGAUCAGCAUCAGGGGAUAUAUCAUAAUCAACAAAUGCUUAUUGUCAACCUACUGCAAAAUGCUAUUUCUGAUGUCAUGGAGAACAUAAAAGUUUAUGAUUUAUACUUUGCCCUUAAACAAGUUAAAAUUUAUAAGGCACUAGAAACACAGGAAGAUGUAGAACACUGGGAACUGUCACCAGGAAGGAUGUGAUACACACUGCCCAGUGAAGGGUAUGGGCAGAGAGUGGUAUGAAGUUUGUCUACAAAAUUGUGGGUAGAGUCUUCUAGGAUUAACUCCUGACAGAAGAGGAGAAAAGGAGGAACAAUUUGAAUCAAGUCCUGAAAGAAUAGCCAUCAGAAUGAAGAAAGACAGUGUCCAGCUGUAGCAGUAGUUUGGUAGCAGGAGAAUUAGACGUAAAGGUACUAAUGCCUGAGGGGUGGGUCAUGAAUUAAUAAUUGCUAUGUGGCGGAUGAGCCCCGUCAGAAGAGCUGAAAAUGAGGAAGUUGCCUUGCAGAGCGCUAUCAAUCACUCAGUGACCAUAACUUCCAGUAAUUAGUGUAUUUUAUGGGCCUUUGCUUCAGUGGCUCGAAAGCACAUAUGCUCCAGUCACAGCUAAACUUUGCUGGAGUAAUAUUCCAGGAUGAUUUAUCCUCCUGCUGCACUGGGAUAUAACCCUAUAUUAGGUGAAGAUUGUGAACUAAGCUGCAAUAAAGUGUAAGUUUAGGUACAGUUUGCCCAGGUUGAGACCUCAAUGUAUCACGCUUUUCAGCAUUCAUGGUUAGGCUAUAGCAGGCAAUCAUUUUUAACAGUGAAACAAAUAAAGCAAUUAAAGGAACAGCAUUAGGAUAUUGUACUUGUGAAUUACUGUUGCCCUCUUCCUGUUUAAGUGUCUACUGUAAUAAGCCCAUUUCUUUUUAUUUUUUUAAAAACGUACUCUGUUAGAAACAUUUGUUCGUUUUUUGUUUUUUUUAAGUUCCAGGGUACAUGUGCAGGAUGUGCAGGUUUGUUAAGAAGUAUUUAUCUGUAAUGCUGUCUUUUCUCCCUUAUUAUUAAUAAUCUGGGACAGAAUGCAGAACCUUCUGAAUGGUAGAUAAGUGCUUGAUUUAUUUAUUUGUGCUACUGUUUGGGCUCCUUAAGUAAGUUUAUAUCAGUGGACUUUGGUGAGGACAAGUAGUUGUUGUUUUUUGUUUUGGUUUUAAUAUUGGCACCCGUUAAGGCGCACUCCUGAUGGGACCCUCACAUUUAGGCUCUUUCUACACAAAGAAAAAACAUUAGUUACAAGCUCUCAGACUACUUGGCACUUUUCGUAUAGGCAUAAUGAGUUAUUUGCUGUGGCUCACCCACUGCACUAGAAGUCUAUGAGGUCUUUGCAGACAGGGUCCUUUGCCAUUGCCAAAACAUUUGUAGAGCCCAGUGUUCCUAGGCUCUUAACAAGCUUUGCCACCAACUUACAGUAUGACCUUGAGCAAAUUAAUUAAGCUGCUGGUGCCUCCAUUGGGCCAUAAUUCUGUUUGCGCUGAAGAAAUCCUUAGAGUUUGUAGGAAAGAGUUUGUGAAAAUAAGCAUAAAUUGAAAUAGGAAAAAAUACGUGUGGGUUCACUAUAUUCUCUUGAGAGUAAAGUAUUUCUUCAUCACUUUUAAUGAUGGUGUCUUUGAAUUUCCUUAAAUAGACACCAGUGAUAAGCUAAUUUCACAAAUGUAGAUGGAAGGGUGUACACAGUUUGAUGCUUUCGUUACAUUUAUUAUCCCAUCUUUAAUUUGCAGUGUAUUAUGAUAUCAUACAAGUUAAUAAUAAUAAAACAAACUAAUUGUCUUUAAUUAAAGUGAAUUAGAUUUUGAUUUUAAUAUAUUUGCUGUAGUGAGUACUGAUAAUGUGGAGGGUCCCAAAGGUUAUUAGGGCAUGUUUCUGUUAGGCCUGAUGGUGUUAGUAAUAAUCCUCUUCCUCAUAGUUCUAGACAUGAACAAAUAUGUCACUUCAUCAGUCUCUGUUACUCGCACUUAUGCCCCUCCACAGGGGUUGCAGAUUCCACAAGUUAUCAGCUAAUGGCGUUAUACAUUAAAAAUUGAAGCUUUCCUCACUCUGAGGCCUUUCAAGGCUUUGUUCUUAAGCCCCAGACACUUUGGAGUGCAGCUGCAAACUAUAGGCAGAAGAUUAAAUUAAUUUGUAACUCUUUUUUUUUUUUUUUGGUCCUGCAUUACUAAAUCCUCCACAUUUAAUUGAAACCCUACUUCAAGACGCUUUGUGUUUCUGUGUUCUUUGUUGUCAGUUUAACCUCCAAAGCACUUUAACACCGGUAAAUUGCUGUUAUAUCCUUUGGAUUGUUUUUAAACCAUUCAGUAAGAGAACAGUGAAAUUGAUACAUGGGGAAAAAAGUAAAAUCUUAGAGUAGAUUUUGAGGUAUUUAAUAUUUAUUAUGGUUCUUCACCAGCAUAGUUUCAGAUGAUUUAAACUCUUUCUCUAGGACUGUGUAAAUUGGUCUUGGGAUGAAAUCUCACCUAGGGAAUUUUAUGUAAUCCAGUAGUUAAGUCUGAUUUUUUAAAGUUUCCCUGUGUCUGAGUGUUCCAAAGUGGCUGCUGCAUUUCUAUAAAAUGAAGAUUUAACUGCAGCGCACAAUCUAAAUGCAAAAUCCUUAGAUGGAAAUUUAAUUGUGUAAAAUGUACACAAGGUAAUUAAGAACAAAUUUUAGAACAUUUCAGACUAUAAAGUUGUCAUUCAGCUAGAUCACUGGCUAUAUUGAAAAUGCUUAUUUUCAAUUUGUAGUUAUGCCGAGAAACAUAGAAUAUGUCUAAAUUAAGAAUAAAAAAAUCCAGUGCUCUUCAGUAGAACUGUAAAUUUAAAACUACUCCCACAACAUAGUUGAUAUUCUGAGUAGGAGACUUGAUUACUAAAAACAUGUCUUGAAUUUGUGUCCUGCACUUGUUUUCUGGCUACAAUGUUUGUUUUCUCUUUAUCAUUUAUGAUUCUAUGACAAUAAUUAUUUUUAUUAUCAACAAAAGCCAUUCUGUUGCUUUGUCAAUAAAUAACUUCUUUUUGUUAAAAUACAAAGAUUUUUAUCGUGUUAUAUAUUUGGCAAUUGUUAUGAUCUCUCUUUCACGCACAGGCACACAUACAAAUAUAUUUGUUAUUUAAAUUAUAAAAUCCAACAUAUUCAAAUGCUGCUAACUGAAGAGCAUUUUAUAGAUUGUGGUUGGCCAAGUCAAAGGUCAAUAAGAUGACACUAAGGAACGUCCUGUUUUUAGAGUGAGAUGUUAGUUGUUUACUGCUAUUUAAGUGUAUCCCCAACUGGUAACACUUCAGACCAUUCUUUUUCAGCCUUUUACAUAAUAAACGUCCCGCAAGAGAGUCUUCAGCAGUUUGCUAAAUCUUAAGUAUUUGGAAUUAAAGUGUACUUUUUAAUUUAACAUUAAAUAGAAUCCCUUAUCUCUACCUCCACCCCCUGGCCCCAAAUAAAUAAAGCUUUUCCAAAUCUUUUACGAUGUGAGCUGCUCCCCUCCUGGGAAUGAAAAGGAUAUGAGACCCAUUUGAUGAAUUGCUGGCACUUAUAUGUGUCUACAUUUUUCAGUACACUUUUUAAAAAAAAAAA